rnacentral:lncRNA from 1 species
AAGGAAAGGAAUCACCCAAGGUCCCAUUUUCAACAUCUGGUCACCUUUAGUCAGGCUAGUAAUAGCUGUGGCUGCUGUGUUUUGUGGGACCUCUCCUGCUGCCUGUCUCCUCUGACAGGAGAUCUGGAUGUGACUUCAGGGGCUGUUGGUGCCCAGGACCAAACUGGAGCCACAUCAUGCUCAGCGCCGAGGACUCACAACAGUGGAGCUGGUGUUCUUCUUAUGGAAAAUGUGUUCAAGUCAUGCAAACCAUUCUUAACAAGAAUGUGGGAUAGCAGUGGCAGGGGUAAAGCAACGGGAAAGGUUCCAAAGCUGUUAUGCUGCAAAUAGCAUACAUACUGAGCCAAUAUCAUCCAAUUAAUUGCUUCACAUGCUACAUUCUUCCUAAUGAGGGUGGGCAACAAGGACAGUAUGCUGGCAAGCUUUUCUGCUCUGAAUGGAAAGUCCGUCACUGCUGCAGAGUUACCCGUUCAGUUAUGUGAAAUAAUCCCUGGCUCUUGUUCUACCCUUCCCUUGGGGUACCUGCUCCACUGAAUGACCCCAUCGUGCUUGGUGCAUUGAGAUUUUGAAACUAGCUGCUAACUACUGUGGAUGCAUUUCCUGACCUUACUGGUGGGAAUUGAACCAAAGUCUCUCAAGUGCUGUAGGAUCUAAUUAAUAUGCAUCUUAUUCCAGGAAAGACUCAUUACUUUAUAGAUAUUUAUAUAAGGAGUAUGUCUUCCAUAGUGGUUAAUAACUAUGAAUAAAGUUUCAUUUCUGAUAGAGGAAUAAAGCUUC